rnacentral:lncRNA from 1 species
GGGGCCGGGGAUCCGGGAGCCCUCGGCAUUCCUGGGAUCCCGGAGCCCUCGGCAUUCCUGGGAUCCGGGAGCCCUCGGCAUUCCUGGGAUCCCAAUCCUGGGAUCCCGCUCCUGGCAUUUCCUCCUCUGCCAUCCCUGUUCCUGAGAUCCUAAACCUGGGAUCCUGAUCCUUGGAUUUCCUCCUCUGCCAUCCCAAUCCUGGGAUCCCAAACCUGGGAUCCCAAACCUGGGAUCUCCUCCUGUGCCAUCCCUGUUCCUGGGAUCCCAAACGUGGAAUCCUGGCCCUGGAAUCUUCUCCUUUGGCAUUCCCGCUGCUCCUGGGAUCCUGCUCCUGGGAUCCUGCUGCUCCCGGGAUCCUGAUUCUGGGAUCCUGCUGCUCCUGGGAUCCUGCUGCUCCCGGGAUCCUGAUUCUGGGAUCCUGCUCCUGGGAUCCUGCUGCUCCUGGGAUCCUGAUCCUCCUGGGAUCCUGAUCCUGGGAUCCUGCUGCUCCCGGGAUCCUGCUCCUGGGAUCCUGCUGCUCCCGGGAUCUCGCUGCUCCUGGGAUCCUGCUGCUCCUGGGAUCCUGCUCCUGGGAUCCUGCUGCUCUUGGGAUUCUGCUACUCCCAGGAUCCUGCUGCUCCCGGGAUCUCCUCCGUCCUCCCCGCUCCCGGGAUAUCCUGCUACUCCCAGGAUCCUGCUGCUCCCAGGAUCCUGCUGCUCCUGGGAUCCAUCCUGCUGCUCCUGGGAUUCCUGCUCCCGGGAUCCCGCUGCUCCCGGGAUCUCCUCUGCCCUCCCCGCUCCCGGGAUAUCCCGCUCCAGGCACCCUGAUUCCCGGGAUCCCCCCUCUCUCUCUCUCUCCACGAUCCCGGCUGCUCCCCCAGGGAUCCCAGCUCCAGGAAUCCCUCUCGGGACCCUGCUUUGGGGAAUGGGGGGGAGGGGCGUCCCCCCCCCCCCAAACCUCAAACACCCCCCAAAACUGAUCGGUGCCUCAGUUUACCCCUUCCACAGCAUCCAUGGGGAAAUGAGGGGGUUCAGCCCCCGUCCCCCCGCUUUGGGUACUCCGGUGUCACCCCCACAGGGAAGGGGACACCAGGAGGACAAGGGGGGGGACCCCAAAAAACCUCAGGUGGGGACCCCGAAGGCAGCGCAGGGCUGGGGGGGCUCUGUCACCGCCCUGGGUUUUGG